UAAGGUUUCCGACGGAAGGUCAGUCCGCGUCGGGUUAGUCGGGCCUUAGCCGAGGCCGAAAGGCGUAGGCGAUGGACAUCCGGUUAAUAUUCCGGAACCACUCAAGUGGAGCGAUGAAGGGACGCGGCGUGGUAGGUCAGCCUCUUAACGGAUUGAGGUGCCAAACGCGUAGGACGUUGAAGGGUGUAGGUAAGUCCGCACCCCGAGUCCGAAACGUGAUGGCGGUGCCUUAGAGCCACAAGUGAUUGAGCCAUGCCGCCUAGAAAAGCUUCUAAGCGUUGAUAUUUGAGUGACCGUACCGCAAACCGACACUGGUAGGUGGGUAGAAUAUACCAAGGGGAGCGAGAGAACCCUCGUUAAGGAAUUAGGCAAAUUUCCCCCGUACGUUCGCAAUAAGGGGGGCCUCUGGUGGUGAGCUUAAUCGCAAAGCUGCUGGAGGCCGCAGAGAAAUGGCUCUUCCAACUGUUUAACAAAAACACAGGUCUCUGCUAAGUCGAAAGACGAAGUAUAGGGGCUGACGCCUGCCCAGUGCUGGAAGGUUAAGGGGAGAGGUUAGGCGCAAGCCGAAGCUUUGAGCCGAAGCCCCAGUGAACGGCGGCCGUAACUAUAACGGUCCUAAGGUAGCGAAAUUCCUUGUCGGGUAAGAUCCGACCCGCACGAAUGGCGUAAUGAGAGGAGCACUGUCUCAACGAGGGACUCGGCGAACAUUGAAGGACGUGUGAAGAUACACGUGACCCGCAGCGGGACAAAAAGACCCCGUGAAGCUUUACUACAACUUGCCAUUGAGUUAGGGCUAAACCUGUGUAGUAUAGGUGGGAGGCUUUGAAGCUGGGACGCCAGUCUCGGUGGAGCCACCGUUGAAAUACCACCCUGGUUUAUUCUUGGCUCUAACCUGUCGCCGUUAUCCGGCAUGGGAACAGUGGCUGGUGGGUAGUUUGACUGGGGCGGUCGCCUCCGAAAGCGUAACAGAGGCGCCCAAAGGUUCCCUCAGGCCGAAUGGAAACCAGCCGUUGAGUGUAAAGGCACAAGGGAGCUUGACUGCAAGACCAACAAGUCGCGCAGGGACGAAAGUCGGGCUUAGUGAUCCCACGGCUCAGAGUGGAAUGGCCGUGGCUUACCGGAUAAAAGCUACUCCGGGGAUAACAGGGUAGUCUGGUCCAAGAGUUCAUAUCGACGACCAGGUUCGCCACCUCGAUGUCGGCUCAUCACAUCCUGGGGCUGGAUAAGGUCCCAAGGGUUGGGCUGUUCGCCCAUUAAAGUGGUACGUGAGCUGGGUUCAGACCGUCGUGAGACAGGUCGGUCUCUAUCCGCUGUGGGCGCAAGGGAUUUGAGAGAAGCUGCCCCUAGUACGAGAGGACCGGGGUGGACGGACCUCUAGUGUGCCAGUUGUUCUGCCAAGAGCAUUGCUGGGUAGCUACGUCCGGCAGAGAUAACCGCUGAAAGCAUCUAAGUGGGAAACUCGUCUCAAGAUUAGAUCCCUCAUCCGUAUGGAGUAAGACCGCUAGAAGACUACUAGUUUGAUAGGCGGCAGGUGUAAGCGCAGUAAUGUGUUCAGCUUAGCCGUACUAAUGGUCGAGGGCUUACGUUU
rnacentral:rRNA from 1 species